rnacentral:rRNA from 1 species
CCUACGGGUGGCAGCAGUCGAGAAUUUUUCUCAAUGGGGGAAACCCUGAAGGAGCGACGCCGCGUGGAGGAUGAAGGCUUUCGGGUUGUAAACUCCUGUCAUUUGGGAACAAAGUCCCGCGUUCGCGGGAUGUGAUAGUACCAGAAGAGGAAGAGACGGCUAACUCUGUGCCAGCAGCCGCGGUAAUACAGAGGUCUCAAGCGUUGUUCGGAUUCAUUGGGCGUAAAGGGCGCGUAGGCUGCGGGGUAAGUCGGGUGUGAAAUCUCAGAGCUCAACUCUGAAAUGGCACUUGAUACUGCUCUGCUAGAGGACUGGAGAGGAGAUUGGAAUUCACAGUGUAGCAGUGAAAUGCGUAGAUAUUGUGAGGAAGACCGGUGGCGAAGGCGGAUCUCUGGACAGUUCCUGACGCUGAGGCGCGAAGGCCAGGGGAGCAAACGGGAUUAGAUACCCUAGUAGUC